GGUUGUAUUCUGACCUCCGCAAGUCAGAACUCUUGCUUUCAGGAAACCCAUUCAAAUCCACGUCAGUAAAUGUAGAGGUUUCUCUAACUCAAGUGAAUCCUGAGUUUGGCAUCUAGUCAACAGGAAGAACAGCAUGGAUGCUUGCAGUUCACAUACGUCCUUGGGCUCAGCUCAGCGCUUCCAAAGAGCAGUAUUUUAAAAUCGUUGCAACCUUCAUUUUGGAGAACUAUUAGUAUUUUCUAGUUCAAUGGGACCUGACAAAGCGCCUUGAUGAAAAGAUGAACAACUCAAGAAGUUUAAUGUUGCCUGAAAAAGGUGCUGAGGAUUGCUCACCAUGGGAACAAUCAAGGAAAAAACACCAUGGCUAGCCUUGCAAGACCAAUGUGUCUUCACUGGCCUUUAUGUAACUUUUCAUUCUGAUGCUACAUCAAAUGUCCAGGUAAACGCGGAUUAUGCAGACAUAUUAAAGUGUUCCGGUGAUUC